UGAAAGAUCAAGUUGGCAACAACAGAAGAUUCACAGCAUAUUGCAGGUAGCCUCCAAAUUCUUGGAAUCAACAACCUGCUUGGAACCAGCGCUCUGCUGUAAAGGGAUCUGCAGCUGCAAUGUUUCCACAGCUUGCUGGAGCUGACUCAUCUUUCUGUGUGAGACCAGUUACCCUUGCUACUUCAGAGACAGAAAUCUGUUAAUUUCACAAGUCUUGCACUUUUCCUUCUCCUUGAGUAGGUAAAGACAUUUCUUAUGGAAAGGGAGAAAGUCUUUGGGCUCUGCUUUUUGCUGCUCUUCACAUAAGUGAACACAUGCAAUCUGUACGAAUAUCCUCACUUUCCACAUUUUUGUGAUCUAUCUUGAAAAUCCUUGAAGUGUGAUAGUGGAAUGUCACAUCUGAACAAGGAGCUGUACCUAUAAGGUCACUUCUUCUUUCAGCUCUCUGCCAGAUGUGCUCAGAUCUUAUGGGAAGCAAUGUAUGGGAGAAAAACCUGGAACCAAAACAAUUGCAUUUCUAUUGGAUGAAAUUCUUUACGCAUAGAAGCCAUUUUAUUGAGGGCCUUGCAAGGCAUUUUCUAUGCAAAAAGGGUUACAUAUUUUCAAAACUACUAGUGAACCUAUAUCUCUGCUGGACCUGUUGGUACUGUUCAAAAAAUGAACAUAACUUCCUGUAAGUUUACACAUCAUCAUUGUGACUAGGCAGAGAGUUUGACAAAAUCUCAUGUAAUGGACAUUUUCAGGCUUUUAGUUUGAAUCUCAGUGCAAG
rnacentral:lncRNA from 1 species